GAUGAACGCUGGCGGCGUGCCUAAUACAUGCAAGUCGAGCGAACAGACGCCGAGUUUGCUCCUCUCACGUUAGCCGCGGACGUGUGAGUAACACGUGGAUCACCUACCUAUAAUCCUGGUAUAACUUCGGGAAACCGGAUCUAAUCCCGGAUAAUAUCUUGAACCGCAUGGUUCAAUAAGGAAAUACGGUUUUGCUGUCACUUAUAGAUGGAUCCUCGCCGCAUUAGCUAUUUGGUAAGGUAACGGCCUACCAAGGCAAGGAUGCGUAGACGACCUGAGAGGGGGAUCGGCCACACUGGAACGGAGACACGGUCCAGACGCCUGCGAGAGGCAGCAGUCGGGAACGUUACGCAAUGGGCGAGAGCCUGGCGGAGCAGGGGGGAGUGAGAGAUGAAGGUGUUCGGUGCGUAAAAAUCGGUUUCUAGGGAAGAACAACUGUCUAAGUAAAUAUGCAUGUCUUGACGGUACAUAAUCAGAAAGCAACAGCUAACUACGUG
rnacentral:rRNA from 1 species